CAAGUUGUCCCGGGACCCUCAGCUACUGAACCACACUUCUGCUGAUUCCAUUGCUCCUGGAACUGACAGGAAAUGGAACCGUUUAAAGGACCAUGUCAAGAGAAGAGGUUUCAGAGCAGAAAUCGGAGUGUUGCCUGUGCCCUGGAUAGCUCUCUACCCAACCCUACCUGUACUUGGGUGUUGGGGAUGAGUUGAUACAGAGUCAAUGACACAGACUCCGGAAGCAGGUGAGAAAUGCUGCAGCAAGCUCAUCUGAGCAUUGCUGCAAGCUCCUUUAAUGCACUUUACCCACAUCCCCAUUGGUUCCAAGAAAGUAUCUCUUCUAAACAGCAGUUCCUGGUUGGCUGGCAAUAUUUACACUAGCCAUCCUUGCUCUCUCAGGCAGUCCUCAAUUAGGUCCCCCUGCAGGAAUGCUGGUGUCACAGGCAGUCCUCAAUUAGGUCCUCCUGCAGGAGAUGCUUCUGCAGCUGCACAGGCCCUAAGCAUUUACAUAGAGGCAGCCCUGCUGUUCUGCUAUAAUAAAGAUUUGGUUCGACUUGCUUUAUCUACAAAGAUAUAGUUGUUUAGCAUAAAGAUUAAUAUUUUUUC